ensembl:lncRNA
GAAUAACAUAAAUAAGCUUCAUAAUAUAUUAUGUACCAUGAAUGAAUGAAAAAACGUCUUUUACAGCCUUCACAUUUUUUUUGCAAGACCCAUUAUUCUAAAACCGCAACUGUCUGAAAUUUAUCCCAUUGGACCAAAAGCCCAUGGUCCGACGGUCCGUUGUCCCAAAAACCAAAGUCCAUUAUUAUGCAGAGUGAAGUCAUCGGACACAAUAUUUUUGAGACAUGGGAGACGUUUAUCUAUUUAGCCCAAACCAUCUUUUCCUCAACCUAACUGAUUAGUUAAGUUCCAUAAACAGCUUUUGCACUGCAGGGGCUUGCAAAGAACCACUGUGUCUUUGGACAAUCGUUGGAGAAGGCUUAAUUUAACAAUGGUUUUCUCCAUUAAAAUGACGACUGUGCCACUUGAUAAUUGACUGAUACUGACUGCAACAAAAAUAAGAGAUAAAAUAAAUUCAUAAAUGAAUACUUUUGUUCUUCUUAUAUUUGAUUAUGAUUACAUUCAAUUUUGACAUAUAAUUACAUGUUUUAAUAUAUGUUUAAUGUAUUUUCAAUUCUUUGCAGUAAAAUUGUAGCCAGAGCCAGAAACAUGUGCUCAAAAUAGGAUAGCUAAAUCAGUAAAUCUUCUAAAAGAAGGUCAAGAGGUGCAAGGGAUCAAUACCAUUGAAUCAACCCAGAGCAUGAGAGGAAGGGAGGGAUGAGAUGGAGUGAUAGAGCAGGAAGGGCAGCAGUAGCGUUGAAAUGGAGAGCAGAGUAGGUGGGACACAAUUUCCCAACAGGACAAAAAGGCGCUGGGGCCUUCGAUUAGCCCCAGCUGUGGUCAAUAGUGGUUCGAUGGAGCUCUCUGAGGGAUAGACAGUGAACGGUAUUUGUAGGGCAAGAGUAAGAGAUGUCAAGCAGUGUUUUUAUGAGUGUGUGUGUCUAUGUGCGUGAUGUUAUAUGUGCUAUACAAAAUAAAUGGCUUUGUUUUGCCAUGUGGUGUGUAAUGGCACGUUUCCACCGAACGGUAUGGUACGGUACGGGUCGGGUCGGUACGGGUCGGUCUGUUAACCAUGAUUUGGUUAACAGACCCGUGAUAACGUCACUUGAUAGGCGUGGUAUAUGACGGAAAGUAGAUUGACGUCAUUCGAUCGCACGAAAACUGAAAGCUACAUACAGGACAUACAGCCGAUCCUGUUCUUGCUUCUCGAUAUGUGGCUGUUUGCCACAAGGAGACGCCAAUCUUUGUUUGAGCAAAGGCUACAUGCUGCAAGUGUGUUACGUGUGUUGUCUUUCCCCUUGCGGGACGCGCAAAUGAUGACACUCUUUCAACCAAUCAACGUUCUGCAGUGAGUCUAGCUCCACAUUUUAGUACCAAACAACUGUGAAAAUAACAUGCUAGAAGGGAAUGGAAAGCCCAAUAAUUAAUUAUUACCAUCAUCAAAAGGGACUAUUGGUAUGAAAUCUGGUAGAAAUAUUGGUAGAAAAUCGAAUGGAAGACGACGCAUAAUCAAAAUACACAUAUUCAAUACUUGAUUGGUCGAGUACAAUUAGCUGUGAUGGUUUACGAUUCAUAAUAGGUUGAUGUACAUAAUAGAAAAACUGCUCCGCCCUAAAUGUUACAUUCUUUUACAUCUAUUGGUCAUAAGUCCAGGGUCCAGAUACAACAGCAUCUGGGGUUUGCUCUUAGGGUUUUGUCAAUGACUUUGCACUGAUCCACCUUCCUUCUGUCCUUCACGCAAUUCCACACAGCCCAUCUGUUGCCAGCAAUACCAGAAGAGAAAAGAAAAGUUGAAGAACUUUGUUCCAGGACAAAGGAUAUGUUUGUGUUUUCUCAGAUGGUGAUGGUGCAGUGUUUUCUUUUUUUGCAAUGGCACAAUAUUGGCUGUGCAAACAACUGGGAAGAACAAAGUAUGGCAAAAUACAAAAGAGAAAGACAAAGCUGGGGUGUAAAGGGAGACAGCGGGUGAUGUUGGGGAUAUACUGUAUAUAUUUACCUGCCAGCGGGAGUACUCUGGCUCAAUCUCUAUACUGUGUCUUUCAUGCCUCCUCUUUUUGCUGAGAAGUCAAGAAAGGAGGAAUUCACAGCAGCAUCAACCUGAUGCAGCCAUGUGUAUGUUGAACUCCUCUUCAUUAAUGAAGGAGAUAAAGAAAAAGAAAAUGCAGGUCGCUUUUGUCGGCGCCAGGGUGGGUCCAGUGCGGCCUCACCUCAAUU